AUUGAACGCUGGCGGCAGGCCUAACACAUGCAAGUCGAACGAGUGGCGGACGGGUGAGUAAUGUAUGGGAACCUGCCUGAUGGCGGGGGAUAACUACUGGAAACAGUAGCUAAUACCGCAUACCAUCGGAUCUGCCCAGAUGGGAUUAGCUAGUAGGUGGGGUAAAGGCUCACCUAGGCGACGAUCCCUAGCGGGUCUGAGAGGAGUACCAGCCACACUGGAACGGAGACACGGUCCAGACUCCUACGGGAGGCAGCAGUGGGGAAUAUUGCACAAUGGGCGAAAGCCUGAUGCAGCCAUGCCGCGUGUAUGAAGAAGGCCUUCGGGUUGUAAAGUACUUUCGGCAGGGAGGCGUUACCCGCAGAAGAAGCACCGGCUAACUCCGUGCCAGCAGCCGCGGUAAUAC
rnacentral:rRNA from 1 species